GGGCAAUUAGGCAAUGUCAGAAUUAAAGCAUCCUCUAGACCCUUUGGACCAGCAAUUCCAUGGCUAAGAACUUACCCUACAGCUGAGCUCCUGUGUGCACAGGGACUAAGGAUAUUUACUGCAGCACUGUUUGCAGAACAAAUACUUUCUGCAUUGUAAGACAACAGAAAUGUCCAUUAGACAGAAAUGUCCAUUAGAAGUUACUCUUGAAAUGAAUGGUGACACCUCCAUAUGGGGCCCUAAGGACACACUUGUUAAAAAGAUUAAGCUGGGUGUGGUGGCUCGAGCCAAUAGUCCCAGUUACUCAGGAGGCUAGGUGGGGCCUCCUGCCAAGAGCCCAGUUUGAGGCCAGUCUGGGCAACAUAGCAAGACCCCAUCUCUAAAAUAACUGAAUGAAUGAAUGAAUGGAGGCAGAUCCAUAUGUUCCAAUUAGGAGUGAUCACCAAGGUGGUGUAAAGUGAAAAGGGUUCCAAGAUCUUGAUCUAGUCCUGGCUGGGCACAGUGGCUCAUGCCUGUAAUCCCAGCACUUUGGGAGGCCAAGGUGUGAGCCACCAUGCCCAACCAGGGAUGAUUUUAAC
rnacentral:lncRNA from 10 species